rnacentral:rRNA from 1 species
UGGGGAAUAUUGCACAAUGGGGGAAACCCUGAUGCAGCGACGCCGCGUGAACGAAGAAGGUAUUCGUAUCGUAAAGUUCUGUCCUAUGGGAAGAUAAUGACAGUACCAUAGAAGAAAGCUCCGGCUAAAUACGUGCCAGCAGCCGCGGUAAUACGUAUGGAGCGAGCGUUGUCCGGAAUUAUUGGGCGUAAAGGGUACGCAGGCGGUUUAAUAAGUCGAAUGUUAAAGAUCGGGGCUCAACCCCGCAAAGCAUUGGAAACUGAUAAAAUUGAGUAGUGGGGAGGAAGGUGGAAUUCCUAGUGUAGUGGUGAAAUACGUAGAUAUUAGGAGGAGUACCAGUAGCGAAGGAGACUUUCUGGACACAAACUGACGCUGAGGUACGAAAGCGUGGGGAGCAAACAGG